rnacentral:rRNA from 1 species
GAUUAGAUACCCUGGUAGUCCACGCUGUAAACGAUGUCGAUUUGGAGGUUGUUCCCUUGAGGAGUGGCUUCCGGAGCUAACGCGUUAAAUCGACCGCUGGGGAGUACGGCCGCAAGGUUAAAACUCAAAUGAAUUGACGGGGGCCCGCACAAGCGGUGGAGCAUGUGGUUUAAUUCGAUGCAACGCGAAGAACCUUACCUACUCUUGACAUCCAGAGAAUUUAGCAGAGAUGCUUUAGUGCCUUCGGGAACUCUGAGACAGGUGCUGCAUGGCUGUCGUCAGCUCGUGUUGUGAAAUGUUGGGUUAAGUCCCGCAACGAGCGCAACCCUUAUCCUUUGUUGCCAGCACGUUAUGGUGGGAACUCAAAGGAGACUGCCGGUGAUAAACCGGAGGAAGGUGGGGAUGACGUCAAGUCAUCAUGGCCCUUACGAGUAGGGCUACACACGUGCUACAAUGGCGUAUACAAAGAGAAGCGACCUCGCGAGAGCAAGCGGAACUCAUAAAGUACGUCGUAGUCCGGAUUGGAGUCUGCAACUCGACUCCAUGAAGUCGGAAUCGCUAGUAAUCGUAGAUCAGAAUGCUACGGUGAAUACGUUCCCGGGCCUUGUACACACCGCCCGUCACACCAUGGGAGUGGGUUGCAAAAGAAGUAGGUAGCUUAACCUUCGGGAGGGCGCUUACCACUUUGUGAUUCAUGACUGGGGUGAAGUCGUAACAAGGUAACCA